GCGCCGGUAGCUCAGCUGGAUAGAGCGCCUGGCUACGAACCAGGAGGUCGGGGGUUCGACUCCCUUUCGGCGCGCCA
rnacentral:tRNA from 2 species